GCCCCAGUAGCUCAGUAGGACAGAGCGGCGGUUUCCUAAACCGUAGGUCGCAGGUUCGAUCCCUGUCUGGGGUACCA
rnacentral:tRNA from 1 species